AGAGGGAGUGUGGAUCUGGAAAACAGGGUUUCGUCAGCUAGUUAAGGCUAAACAAAGAACGUCCGAAAUAAAACAAAAGGUCGUGGUAUGUUUUAAGACUCUUUAAAAACCUUCAAUUACCCAGAAUAAACCACCUGGUCUCAGGCUGACAAGAAGGUCGGGCAACUGCAGCUGCUAAAAGCCAAACUCAGUGUAUUGGCUAGGUGCUAAUAUGCCUUUAUUGGGGUCUAUAACUUCAAAAUUAAGUUUUCAGAACCUGGGCAGAUUGAAUGUCAUUGACUUCUCUCGUCUUUGAGGAUGAGAUAUUAGAAGCCUGUGAAUUCUGACAGCUGUUUACUAGAGCAGGCUCACUGUAUGCCUGUCUAAUGAGGAAAUGGUCACAGGGAUGUUGAUGGCAGUCAGACCCCUUCACCACUGUCGGCCUUCUCUGCUUGGUGACAAAGACUCUGGGCUGUGUCUGUAGCACACGUGUUCCUCUGAUGGCCUCAUUUAGGAUACUGUUGAAAUAAAGCUUGCUACAGCAAUGCCCAAUGGCACGACUCAUAAUUAGUCUGAAUAACAUUUUCCAUUUUAAACCCUGAUUUUUUUUAUGGGAUUUACUGCUUGGCCCAUAAAAUCUCGUUCUAAACCGAGACCUGGCAUAAUUUUUAGCAUAAGCAAAUAUACCGUAGCUAUAAAUCACGAGCUCCAGUCUUGACCCUAGAAGGUGAAGAGCAAGCUCACGUGA
rnacentral:lncRNA from 1 species